UACAGAGGUCUCAAGCGUUGUUCGGAUUCAUUGGGCGUAAAGGGUGCGUAGGUGGCGCCGUAAGUCGGGGUGUGAAAUUUCGGGAGCUUAACUCCGAAACUGCAUUCGAUACUGCGGUGCUUGAGGACUGGAGAGGAGACUGGAAUUCAUGGUGUAGCAGUGAAAUGCGUAGAGAUCAUGAGGAAGACCAGUGGCGAAGGCGGGUCUCUGGACAGUUCCUGACACUGAGGCACGAAGGCCAGGGGAGCAAACGGG
rnacentral:rRNA from 1 species